UCAAAUUCUAGUUUUUGUGAACCAGAGUAAUCUUGUUGUUGUGCCGAAGGACGCUUGCUUGGCAAAGCUCUUCUGUCGUGUUCCCUUGGAAAUGCAAGAGGUCACCGUUGCCCAUUACCGAUCUUUCAUUAUUGCUGCUGACACCUUAAUCGUCAUUCGCCACGAAGUCUCCUCCAUUGACAACCAUCUCGAAUCUCUCGUACUUUCUCUAUACUAUCACUUUUCAUUUCAUCUUUUUCUUAUAUUUC
rnacentral:lncRNA from 1 species